ACCCGCUGAAUUUAAGCAUAUAAGUAAGUGGUGGAAAUUAAACCAAAUGGGAUAUCUUUAGUAAUUACGAAUGAACAAGGAUAUGCUUAGCUUGACAAAUGGAGCUAUUGGCUUUGAAUUGUAUUGUGGAAAUGUAUUACCAACAGAGGUGCAGGUGCCAGCAUAUUGAAAUAAAGCGUCAAUGAGGGUGAAAAUCCUGUUUGCCAUGUGCAGCCCUUUGUGCACGGUGUAUAUUUGCUGAGUCACACUCCUUGGCAUUGGAAUGCAAAGUGGGUGGUAAGUUUCAUGUAAAGGUAAACAUGCAACUGAGACUGAUAGCACACAAGUGCCAUGAGGGAAAUAUGAAAAAGGUUUUUGAAAAGAUAAUAAAAUGAGUUUGUAUUUGCUGAACACAAAGUAAACAGACUUGAUUUGCUUGGUGGGAGUGUUGCACUUGCUUGACAAGAGCUUUUGGCUGUGUGUGUAAUGAUUCGUUCUUUGCAUGCCAGUUUCUAUGUGUACAUCUGAUUACCUUUGCACAUGAAUGAUAAGUCUCCUGUGGGGGGUGUAUUGCAUGUGCAUGUAAUGAUGUGUGUUUUGAUAAAUGUGUAUGGUGUGUGUGUUUGUGUUCAUGUGAUUGGGGAUGCUUCCUUCCUUGGACUUACAAGCCCUGACACACACAUGCUGGCAAAAUGAUUAUGCUUGACCCGUCUUGAAACACGGACCAAGG
rnacentral:rRNA from 1 species